rnacentral:lncRNA from 10 species
AACUCAAAAAUGCCUUAGUUGGGUGGUUCUUACUCAGGGUCUCUCAGGAGGUUGCAACUAAGAAAAUCACUCUGCCUCCUUCAGCAACACAUAAACUAAAAGUGGAACAAUACAGAGAAGAUUGGCAUGGCCACUGCACAAGGGUGACAUGCAAAUUUGUGAAGCAUUUCAUAUUUUUGGAGUAGGAUAACUAUAGUUAACAACAAUGUAUUAUACAUUUCCAAAUAGAAGUGAGGACUUUAAAUGUUCUCAAUGCAUACAAAUGACAAAUGCUUGUGUUGAUGGUUAUCUUAAAUACCCCGACUUGAUCAUUACACAUUUUAUGCAUAUAAUAAAAUAUUACAUGUACUUCACAAAUAUGUUCAAAUAUUAUGGAUCAAUACAAAUAGAACAUAAUCAGAGAAAAUCAUCACUUAGUAAUUGAUAACACUAGUAGACAGCAAAUUAGUAAGAAUGUAGAAGAUUUGAAAAACAGGAUGAACAAACCUGACCUAAUUAACAUUUAUAGAACAUUUCACCCAAAAUAGUAAAUUAUACAUUCUUUUUAUGUGACAUAGAAUGUUUACGAAGAUUAACAAUAUUUUGUGUCAUAAAACAAGUCUCAAUAAACCUAAAAGCAUGUUCUCUGGCCACAGUGAAUUUAAAUUAGAAAUAAAUAACACUAAAAAAUGUGGAAGAUUCCUAAAUAUUUGGAAACUAAACAAUAAAUUUUCAAAUAACUCAUGGCUCAUAGAAGAAAUACAAAGGAAAUUAGAAAAUAUUUUAAACUGAGUAAGAUGAAAAUAUGGCAUAUCAAAUGUGUGGGGCAUAAGUAGUGGGUAGAAAGAUAUUUAUAACAUUAAAUGUAUAUAUUUGAAAAGUAGCAAGUCCACCAUUAAUAUCUAAACUACCACUUUAAGAAGCAACAACAAAAAAAGACAGCAAGUUAAGCCCAAAAUAAGAAAAAUAAAAAGAAAUAAUAAGGAUA